rfam:Xenopus tropicalis strain Nigerian scaffold_1360_contig_5, whole genome shotgun sequence.
ACCUACGGCCAUACCAUCCUGAAAGCGUCUGAUCUCGGAAGCUAAGAAGGGAUGGGACUUGUUAGUACCUGGAUGGGAGCCCGCCUGGGAAUACCAGAUGUUGUAGGCU